GAUGAACGCUGGCGGCGUGCCUAAUACAUGCAAGUCGAGCGAACAGACGAGGAGCUUGCUCCUCUGUCGUUAGCGGCGGACGGGUGAGUAACACGUGGAUAACCUACCUAUAAGACUGGGAUAACUUCGGGAAACCGGAGCUAAUACUGCAUAAUAUAUUGAACCGCUUGGUCAAAUGGUCAAAGACGGUUUUGCUGUCCCUUACAGAUGGAUCCGCGCCGCACUAGCUGGUUGGUAAGGGAACGGCUUACCAAGGCAACGAUGCUUAGCCGACGUGAGAGGGUGAUCGGCCACACUGGAACUGAGCCACGGUCCAGACUCCUACGGGAGGCAACAGUAGGGAAUCUUCCGCAAUGGGCGAAAACCUGACGGAGCAACGCCGCGUGAGUGAUGAAGGUCUUCGGAUCGUAAAACUCUGUUAUUAGGGAAGAACAAAUGUGUAAGUAACUAUGCACGUCUUGACGGUACCUAAUCAGAAAGCCACGGCUAACUACGUG
rnacentral:rRNA from 1 species